rnacentral:rRNA from 1 species
GACGAACGCUGGCGGCGUGCUUAACACAUGCAAGUCGAACGGAAAGGCCCUGCUUUUGUGGGGUGCUCGAGUGGCGAACGGGUGAGUAACACGUGAGUAACCUGCCCUUGACUUUGGGAUAACUUCAGGAAACUGGGGCUAAUACCGGAUAGGAGCUCCUGCUGCAUGGUGGGGGUUGGAAAGUUUCGGCGGUUGGGGAUGGACUCGCGGCUUAUCAGCUUGUUGGUGGGGUAGUGGCUUACCAAGGCUUUGACGGGUAGCCGGCCUGAGAGGGUGACCGGCCACAUUGGGACUGUGAUACGGCCCAGACUCCUACGGGAGGCAGCAGUGGGGAAUAUUGCACAAUGGGCGGGAGCCUGAUGCAGCAACGCCGCGUGCGGGAUGACGGCCUUCGGGUUGUAAACCGCUUUCGCCUGUGACGAAGCGUGAGUGACGGUAAUGGGUAAAGAAGCACCGGCUAACUACGUG